AGUGAACGCUGGCGGUAGGCCUAACACAUGCAAGUCGAACGGCAGCACAGUAAGAGCUUGCUCUUACGGGUAGCGAGUGGCGGACGGGUGAGGAAUACAUCGGAAUCUACUUUUUCGUGGGGGAUAACGUAGGGAAACUUACGCUAAUACCGCAUACGACCUACGGGUGAAAGCAGGGGAUCUUCGGACCUUGCGCGAUUGAAUGAGCCGAUGUCGGAUUAGCUAGUUGGCGGGGUAAAGGCCCACCAAGGCGACGAUCCGUAGCUGGUCUGAGAGGAUGAUCAGCCACACUGGAACUGAGACACGGUCCAGACUCCUACGGGAAGCAGCAGUGGGGAAUAUUGGACAAUGGGCGCAAGCCUGAUCCAGCCAUACCGCGUGGGUGAAGAAGGCCUUCGGGUUGUAAAGCCCUUUUGUUGGGAAAGAAAAGCAGCAGGUUAAUACCUCGCUGUUCUGACGGUACCCAAAGAAUAAGCACCGGCUAACUUCGUG
rnacentral:rRNA from 1 species